rnacentral:rRNA from 1 species
UUAAGCGACUAAGCGUACACGGUGGAUGCCCUGGCAGUCAGAGGCGAUGAAGGACGUGCUAAUCUGCGAUAAGCGUCGGUAAGGUGAUAUGAACCGUUAUAACCGGCGAUUUCCGAAUGGGGAAACCCAGUGUGAUUCGUCACACUAUCAUUAACUGAAUCCAUAGGUUAAUGAGGCGAACCGGGGGAACUGAAACAUCUAAGUACCCCGAGGAAAAGAAAUCAACCGAGAUUCCCCCAGUAGCGGCGAGCGAACGGGGAGCAGCCCAGAGCCUGAAUCAGUGUGUGUGUUAGUGGAAGCGUCUGGAAAGGCGUGCGAUACAGGGUGACAGCCCCGUACACAAAAAUGCACAUAUUGUGAGCUCGAUGAGUAGGGCGGGACACGUGGUAUCCUGUCUGAAUAUGGGGGGACCAUCCUCCAAGGCUAAAUACUCCUGACUGACCGAUAGUGAACCAGUACCGUGAGGGAAAGGCGAAAAGAACCCCGGCGAGGGGAGUGAAAAAGAACCUGAAACCGUGUACGUACAAGCAGUGGGAGCACGCUUAGGCGUGUGACUGCGUACCUUUUGUAUAAUGGGUCAGCGACUUAUAUUCUGUAGCAAGGUUAACCGAAUAGGGGAGCCGAAGGGAAACCGAGUCUUAACUGGGCGUUAAGUUGCAGGGUAUAGACCCGAAACCCGGUGAUCUAGCCAUGGGCAGGUUGAAGGUUGGGUAACACUAACUGGAGGACCGAACCGACUAAUGUUGAAAAAUUAGCGGAUGACUUGUGGCUGGGGGUGAAAGGCCAAUCAAACCGGGAGAUAGCUGGUUCUCCCCGAAAGCUAUUUAGGUAGCGCCUCGUGAAUUCAUCUCCGGGGGUAGAGCACUGUUUCGGCAAGGGGGUCAUCCCGACUUACCAACCCGAUGCAAACUGCGAAUACCGGAGAAUGUUAUCACGGGAGACACACGGCGGGUGCUAACGUCCGUCGUGAAGAGGGAAACAACCCAGACCGCCAGCUAAGGUCCCAAAGUCAUGGUUAAGUGGGAAACGAUGUGGGAAGGCCCAGACAGCCAGGAUGUUGGCUUAGAAGCAGCCAUCAUUUAAAGAAAGCGUAAUAGCUCACUGGUCGAGUCGGCCUGCGCGGAAGAUGUAACGGGGCUAAACCAUGCACCGAAGCUGCGGCAGCGACGCUUAUGCGUUGUUGGGUAGGGGAGCGUUCUGUAAGCCUGCGAAGGUGUGCUGUGAGGCAUGCUGGAGGUAUCAGAAGUGCGAAUGCUGACAUAAGUAACGAUAAAGCGGGUGAAAAGCCCGCUCGCCGGAAGACCAAGGGUUCCUGUCCAACGUUAAUCGGGGCAGGGUGAGUCGACCCCUAAGGCGAGGCCGAAAGGCGUAGUCGAUGGGAAACAGGUUAAUAUUCCUGUACUUGGUGUUACUGCGAAGGGGGACGGAGAAGGCUAUGUUGGCCGGGCGACGGUUGUCCCGGUUUAAGCGUGUAGGCUGGUUUUCCAGGCAAAUCCGGAAAACUAAGGCUGAGGCGUGAUGACGAGGCACUACGGUGCUGAAGCAACAAAUGCCCUGCUUCCAGGAAAAGCCUCUAAGCAUCAGGUAACAUCAAAUCGUACCCCAAACCGACACAGGUGGUCAGGUAGAGAAUACCAAGGCGCUUGAGAGAACUCGGGUGAAGGAACUAGGCAAAAUGGUGCCGUAACUUCGGGAGAAGGCACGCUGAUAUGUAGGUGAAGUCCCUCGCGGAUGGAGCUGAAAUCAGUCGAAGAUACCAGCUGGCUGCAACUGUUUAUUAAAAACACAGCACUGUGCAAACACGAAAGUGGACGUAUACGGUGUGACGCCUGCCCGGUGCCGGAAGGUUAAUUGAUGGGGUUAGCGCAAGCGAAGCUCUUGAUCGAAGCCCCGGUAAACGGCGGCCGUAACUAUAACGGUCCUAAGGUAGCGAAAUUCCUUGUCGGGUAAGUUCCGACCUGCACGAAUGGCGUAAUGAUGGCCAGGCUGUCUCCACCCGAGACUCAGUGAAAUUGAACUCGCUGUGAAGAUGCAGUGUACCCGCGGCAAGACGGAAAGACCCCGUGAACCUUUACUAUAGCUUGACACUGAACAUUGAGCCUUGAUGUGUAGGAUAGGUGGGAGGCUUGGAAGUGUGGACGCCAGUCUGCAUGGAGCCGACCUUGAAAUACCACCCUUUAAUGUUUGAUGUUCUAACGUUGACCCGUGAUCCGGGUUGCGGACAGUGUCUGGUGGGUAGUUUGACUGGGGCGGUCUCCUCCUAAAGAGUAACGGAGGAGCACGAAGGUUGGCUAAUCCUGGUCGGACAUCAGGAGGUUAGUGCAAUGGCAUAAGCCAGCUUGACUGCGAGCGUGACGGCGCGAGCAGGUGCGAAAGCAGGUCAUAGUGAUCCGGUGGUUCUGAAUGGAAGGGCCAUCGCUCAACGGAUAAAAGGUACUCCGGGGAUAACAGGCUGAUACCGCCCAAGAGUUCAUAUCGACGGCGGUGUUUGGCACCUCGAUGUCGGCUCAUCACAUCCUGGGGCUGAAGUAGGUCCCAAGGGUAUGGCUGUUCGCCAUUUAAAGUGGUACGCGAGCUGGGUUUAGAACGUCGUGAGACAGUUCGGUCCCUAUCUGCCGUGGGCGCUGGAGAACUGAGGGGGGCUGCUCCUAGUACGAGAGGACCGGAGUGGACGCAUCACUGGUGUUCGGGUUGUCAUGCCAAUGGCACUGCCCGGUAGCUAAAUGCGGAAGAGAUAAGUGCUGAAAGCAUCUAAGCACGAAACUUGCCCCGAGAUGAGUUCUCCCUGACUCCUUGAGAGUCCUGAAGGAACGUUGAAGACGACGACGUUGAUAGGCCGGGUGUGUAAGCGCAGCGAUGCGUUGAGCUAACCGGUACUAAUGAACCGUGAGGCUUAACCU